UACAGAGGGUCCCAAGCGUUGUUCGGAUUCAUUGGGCGUAAAGGGUGCGUAGGCGGCGCGGUAAGUCGGGUGUGAAACCUCCAGGCCUCAACCUGGAGACGCCACCUGAUACUGCUGUGACUGGAGUCCGGUAGGGGUAGCGUGGAAUUCCUGGUGUAGCGGUGAAAUGCGCAGAGUAUCAAGGAGGACACCAGCGGCGAAGGCGGCGCUCUGGGCCGGUACUGACACUGAGGAGCGAAAGCGUGGGUAGCAAACAGG
rnacentral:rRNA from 1 species